rnacentral:rRNA from 1 species
CCUACGGGAGGCAGCAGUGAGGAAUAUUGGUCAAUGGGCGGGAGCCUGAACCAGCCAAGUCGCGUGAGGGAAGCCGGUCCUAUGGAUUGUAAACCUCUUUAGGCGGGGAGCAAUGCCGGGCACGCGUGCCCGGAGGGAGAGUACCCGCAGAAAAAGCAUCGGCAAACUCCGUGCCACCAGCCGCGGUAAUACGGGGGAUGCGAGCGUUAUCCGGAUUUAUGGGGUUAAAAGGGUGCGUAGGCGGAUUUUUAAGUCAGCGGUAAAAUGUCCGGGCUCAACCCGGGCCGGCCGUUGAAACUGGGGAUCUUGAGUGGGCGAGAAGUAUGCGGAAUGCGUGGUGUAGCGGUGAAAUGCAUAGAUAUCACGAAGAACUCCGAUUGCGAAGGCAGCAUACCGGCGCCCGACUGACGCUGAGGCACGAAAGCGUGGGGAUCGAACAGGAUUAGAUACCCGAGUAGUC